rnacentral:lncRNA from 1 species
CUCAGUCAUCGGGAAAAAAAAGUGACUGCAGAGAGUGCCCAAUUUGCGGGAACUUCAUUUCCCACUUGAGUCAACACCUACAAAAAACCCUGCUCCUCCGCUCCUCCGCCCGCUGGUCCAGUGGGCGUGUUACAGGUCGAUUAAACUGCCGAGUUUGCGACAAGGUGGUCUUGUCCCGCCUGGACAAACACCUGGCGGACCUCCACCAACUUCCUCCAGAUCGAGACCCUCCCUGUGAUGAGGACCUCAACACUGGGACCCCGCCCACACCCACGUCACCCGCUUCACAGCUAGACCCUCCCAGUGAUGAGUACAUGGCCAACCUGGAGCUGGAGGAAUCCGACUCAGAGGAACCUGAUGUGGGGAGCCCACUGAAACAUCGAGUGACGAAGAGGAAGCUAUCGUUUUCUGGGGCGGUGGUGGAAAAAAGCGGGGUUAUUACAGGCCCAAUGCCGCCCGCCACAAAGUUUCAAGGAGCCAGGAAGAUGGUGGUUGUUCUGAAAGAUAUUAGCUAACUUGCGU